GCGCUUUUUUUCUUUUCUUCACCUCUUUCCUCAAGCUUUCCCUGCUUAUUCUGUAGCGUUUCCAACACUGCGUGAGGAUGUGGCCAGGUUUCUGAACGCGCUUUGCCUUGGCGAGGGUCAGUGUGCAUUAUUUUUCUCUUUUCCUCCAAAAAAGUUUGAAUGCCGCUGUGAAAGUUAGAUGCUUUCCUAAAUUGCGUGUGCGUGGAAUCCUGAGCGCAUCGGUGACCAUUUAGAAGGAAACCCGAGCGACUCGGACAUCCCGUCCCAUCCCAUCCAUGGUACCCUAUGUGUCUGGGCAUCGGGAUGCUGCUGCGCCGGAUCCUGGGGCUCGGGACUCUGAGGCGCACAUGGCGCACGGCCCCGCUUGUGCUCGUGGGGCUCGCUGUGUUUCUUAUCUACCACACCUCUGUGGUGAACCGGACAGGCUUCAGACCUGGACAAGAGGACCAAAAGAACAAAUCUGUGAUGAAGGACCGCACAGUGCUUCUCAAGCACCCAGAAGAGCUCGUCUCUUUCCUGGAAGCCUGGCAUGAUCACAAUGAAGUACACUGGUCUAAGAGGAGUUGUGCGGGGAAGGCCGUCAUGUUGACGGGGCAGCACGUCCCCUCAGACACAGAGGUGCAGCUUUAUCACCGUGUCCUCCUCGAGCGGGGAUACUGUGUCAAACAGGGUCGCUAUGCUGAGACCAGUUCCACUUUCGGACACAAUGGUGGAGAUGGUCGGGAAUGGUCUCUCUUGAUAUGUCUCAAAGGAACGGAAAAAAGUUGCCUCCGAAAAAUCAACUUUGCCCAUUCUCAGCCAUUCCAGAGGGUCAACAUUAUACCAGCGUUUGUUGGGGCUUUCAUGGACAUGGGCGGAGUCUGUCGAUUUCUACUGGACAGCCGUUUGUCAGGUAUGCCAUUACCCAUAAUUCCAUCUGCCUGCACCUUGUCUGGACCAGAGCUGGGAGGAAGUGCUCAUCACACUAAACAUAUCUGGAGCCAAGUUGGCCAGUCAGACUCCCCAGCCAAUCAUGGUCUAGUAGCCUUAAUGAAUGUAUAUGUCUUGGUCACAUCAGCGAUGCCCUUCACUGCAUUCCUGCAUCGCACAGGCUUGGUCAGGACUCAUCUGGACAAACACGGUCAUAUUACUAAGCUGCAGUCGUUCUUUACAGAUAGGCUGGAUCCUUCAGCGGCUCUCCAAGCUGCUGAACUCAUGAAGCAGGUCAUCAGUGAGGUUCUAACAGCUGCUGUUUUAACCACAGCCGACUCCAGCUCUCCACCGAGGUGUUCACUGUGUUUUCAGUUGAUGACCUUCACAUUGCAUUACAAUGCUUCUGUGUGUCCUGUAGUGGUUAAGGUGCAGACUGACUUGAACUUUGACGGUAUAAAAGAUCCAGACUUUGAUGGGCAGAUCACCAAAGAGUACAUUUUAGAAGAUAUGCUGAAGCUCCUCUUCCCAGCAUGUGGCAGUGAGGACGGAUCUCUUCCAAGUCCUCAGGGUACAGCAGAAAUCAAGUACAGUGGCUGCGAGCAGGCAAACGGUUUGUGCUUGACGGCGGAUAAAAUGCAGUUCCUGCUUCACUUUCAUCAGCAGCUCAAGAGAUCUGGCAGCUUUCAUCUGCUCUACCCCAGAUCAUCUCAUUUGUCCAAUCUCCAGCACAAUAUUGUUCAAAGAUUUCCUACAGCAGAGGAUUAUGCGAGGGCAGCAGGUCUCUCAGCCUUGCUCCAACAACUCAGCUCGUCCUACACACAGAGCAGUGAUGAUCCAGACAGGCCUGAGAAGUGGGAUUCCCAGCCAUCAGAAUCAGGGAGGUGUGUGGAGCCCCAUCUCCGUCAGCUAUAUACCGAUCCUCCUCUGGUUCUAACUCCGCUCUUUAACCCCUGGGUGAAGGAGUACCGCGCUGAGGUACCGUUCGACGUGGUCACUAUCCGGAUCAGGCCGGAACCCGUGAGCGCAAAGUGCCACGUUCACCUGGACGAACAUCGCGGCCCCAGAACGGCGAACUACCCGCUCGGCCUGGGCAACAGCCGCAUCAACAUUCUGCUGAUGGACGAGUCAGGGGAGGAGCCUGUCGUCAUGACGAUAUACACUCUGCACAUAUUCCGGGAGAGCCGGCCCAGCCUGCCGAUGUUUGACGAGUAUGUGAUGUGCGGCUUCAUACAGGACUGUGGCCUGGUGGUCAGACCUGAUCAACCCUGUGGUCUGGAGCCUGUUUCUGAGCUCAAAUCAUCUCAGCCUUGCUCUUCAGGAGAUGAACCUGGGCGCUGGGUGGUGCCAUGCCUUAGCUGUUCAGAUAACAGGACAUGUGAUUGGCGGGAAGUUGCCUGGCAACCGGACAGCUGUUACCACCCUGUAUUGGAGCAGCCACAGCUGCAGCGAUGCAUGAUGGACAAAAAGGUCCUGUUCAUCGGUGAUUCUACUAACCGGGGGAUGAUGUACUACCUGAUGGAGCGAGUAAACACUACACUGGAGGAUUGGGACAAGGCUCACGAUACCAUCAUCUACCACAAUCUGAACCAGGGCAGAACACUCAUCAGCUACUCCUAUUACCCCCAAUUCUGGCUGCACAGGAACCAGAGACCCACCUUCCAGCAAGCGCUGGAACAGCUCAUAGAAAGGGUCACGGGGAAACCUGGAGCCUAUCCCAGGGAGCAUCGGGCACAAGGUGGGGUACACCCUGGACAGGGUGCCAGUCCAUCGCAGGGCACAAUCACAUACACACUCACACACCCAUUCAUACACUGCGGACACUUUAGACAUGCAAUCAGCCUACUGAUUGUCUGCAUGUCUUUGGAGGAAACCGGAGUACCCGGAGGAAACCACGGUGGGACUCAAACUCCUGACCCUGGAGGUGUGAGGCGAACAUGCUAACCACUAAGCCACCAUGCGCCCUCAUACUUCUACCAGUUUUUUCCUAUUAAUUAUAGUUGUUGUUUUUCAGUCAGUUCAGUUCACGCUAAAUUCAUGUAUGUACCUGUUGAGCUUAAUAUGUUAUUAAUAAAACAGUCAGGGAAAUAAUCAACAACGGAGGGGUGUGAUGUGGCCCGACACAAAGAGGAACACUGUUUCUCACCCCGAUAACAGCAACUUCUGUUUUAUUCUUCUUUUACCACAGAAAUUUGCUAAAUAAGUUCCAUGUUAUAGCAGCUAUAAACAGCAAUGGGUUAUAACAGGUAUAUACAGUCAUUCCCACACUUUGGAGUUAAUAAACAUGACAUGUAACCAAUAAACGGCAAGAAUGCCCAAGAAACAGAAAAAGUCCUUUAUCCUGAAAAACAUUUCCACAUUGGAAAACUGUUAUAAAAUGCUGACACUGAAGACUCCUUCCAUUAAUGCUAACUAAGUGUCUCCAUACAGAAAACUUCUUUGUUAAUGAAGAGCAAAUAAGUUUAUUAUAAUAAACUUAGAUUAUGUGAAGGGGGUUUGGGGGCUUAGUGGUUAGCACGUUUGCCUCACACUUCCAUGGUUAGGGGUUCGAAUCCCACCUCUGCCCUGUGUGUGCUGAGUUUGCAUGUUCUCCCUGUGCUUUGGGGGUUUCCUCCCCAAGUCCAAAGACAUGUAUUCGUAGGCUGACUAGCCUUUCCAAUUUGUCCAUAUCGUGUGAAUGUGUGUAUGAUUGUGCCCUGUGAUGGGUUGGCACCCUGUCCAGGGUGUGCCUCGAGUUCCCUAGGCUCCCCCACAACCCUGUGUAGGAUAAGUGCUAUGGGAAACGGAUGGAUUAUGUGGAGCGUCCACCAUAAAAGUUCUUGUCACGACCUCUGGAAAACUCCCCUCAGACAGUGCUGGUUGCUGGAGGGGUCCAGUGGCUCAGUCUGGAGCAUCUGAGGACCAUGCAGCAGG